GACGAACGCUGGCGGCGUGCUUAACACAUGCAAGUCGAACGGAAAGGCCCCUUUGGGGGUACUCGAGUGGCGAACGGGUGAGUAACACGUGAGUAACCUGCCCUUGACUUCGGGAUAACUUCAGUAAACUGGGGCUAAUACCGGAUAGGAAUCCUUGCUGCAUGGUGGGGGUUGGAAAGCUUCGGCGGUUUUGGAUGGACUCACGGCUUAUCAGCUUGUUGGUGGGGUAGUGGCUUACCAAGGCUUUGACGGGUAGCCGGCCUGAGAGGGCGACCGGCCACAUUGGGACUGAGAUACGGCCCAGACUCCUACGGGAGGGAGCAGUGGGGAAUAUUGCACAAUGGGCGGAAGCCUGAUGCAGCAACGCCGCGUGCGGGAUGACGGCCUUCGGGUUGUAAACCGCUUUCAGCAGGGGCGAAGCUUGUGGUGACGGUACCUGCAGAAGAAGCACCGGCUAACUACGUG
rnacentral:rRNA from 1 species